rnacentral:rRNA from 1 species
AACGAACGCUGGCGGCGUGUCUAAGACAUGCAAGUCGCACGGGAUAAGACAUGUAGUAAUACUUGUUUUAUUUAGUGGCGCACGGGCGAGUAACACGUGAAUUACAUGCCCUAUAGUGGGGAAUAGCCCAGGGAAACUUGGAUUAAUACCCCAUGGUAUCGAAAGAUUAAAGGUGGCCGCAAGGCUGUCGCUAUAGGAUUGGUUCGCGCCCUAUCAGCUUGUUGGUGAGGUAACGGCUCACCAAGGCAAUGACGGGUACCUGGUCUGAGAGGACGAUCGGGCACACUGGAACUGAGACACGGUCCAGACACCUACGGGUGGCAGCAGUCGAGAAUAAUUCACAAUGGGGGCAACCCUGAUGGUGCAACGCCGCGUGGAGGAUGACGGUCUUCGGAUUGUAAACUCCUGUCAUCUGGGAGAAAGACCUGACGGUAAACAGCCGGCAGGGUUGAUAGUACCAGAAGAGGAAGGGACGGCUAACUUCGUGCCAGCAGCCGCCGUAA